GCCGCGGUAAAACCAGCACCUCAAGUGGUCAGGAUGAUUAUUGGGCCUAAAGCAUCCGUAGCCGGCUCUGUAAGUUUUCGGUUAAAUCUAUACGCUCAACGUAUGGGCUGCCGAAAAUACUGUAGAGAUAGGGAGUGGGAGAGGUAGACGGUACUCGGUAGGAAGGGGUAAAAUCCUUUGAUCUAUCGAUGACCACCUGUGGCGAAGGCGGUCUACCAGAACACGUUCGACGGUGAGGGAUGAAAGCUGGGGGAGCAAACCGGAUUAGAUACCCGGGUAGUCCCAGCUGUAAACGAUGCAGACUCGAUGAUGCAUUGGCAUAUAGCCAGUGCAGUGUCGCAGGGAAGCCGUUAAGUCUGCCGCCUGGGAAGUACGUACGCAAGUAUGAAACUUAAAGGAAUUGGCGGGGGAGCACGGUCAA
rnacentral:rRNA from 1 species